UACGAGGGGAGCAAGCGUUGUUCGGAUUUACUGGGCGUAAAGGGCGCGUAGGCGGCCACGACAAGUCACUUGUGAAAUCUCCGGGCUUAACUCGGAACGGUCAAGUGAUACUGUCGGGCUAGAGUACAGAAGGGGCAACUGGAAUUCUCGGUGUAGCGGUGUAAUGCGUAGAUAUCGAGAGGAACACCUGCGGCGAAGGCGGGUUGCUGGGCUGAUGCUGACGCUGAUGCGCGAAAGCCAGGGGAGCGAACGGG
rnacentral:rRNA from 1 species